UACAAUGAUAAGCGCAAUAAGAUACUAUUCUGAAAAGGUUUGGUAAAUCUUGAAAACACUUAUCAAGCUUGGGACAGACCUUUGCAAUUAUAGGUCUCGAACCAGGAAUUCCUAGUAAACGUAAAUCAUCAAUUUACGUUGAAUACGUCCCUGUCCUUUGUACACACCGCCCGUCGUUUCUACCGAUUGAGUAUUUUGGUGAACUUUCUGGAUUGCGGCAUUUGCAUUGCAAAUAUUGAGUAAACCGAAAUACUUAGAGGAAGGACAAGUCGUAACAAGGUUUCCGUAGGUGAACCUGCGGAAGGAACAUUUUUAUAAACUUUUUAUUUGGCUCUGCCAACAUUUUAAAAUUUUAAAUUUCCAACGAUGGAUAUCUUGGUUCCCAAAGCGAUGAAGAACGUAGCAAAUUGCGAUAAACAAUGUAAUAUGCAAAACGUGAAUCAUUAGGUCUUCGAAUGCAAACUGCUUAGAUAAUUUUCUAAAUGUAUAAUUCAGCGUCUUAUUAUUACAAACAUAAUGUGAUUGGUUUUCUUUCACUAAAUUUAUAAUUUCAAUUCUUUCUGGAAAACCAGUUUUGAAAUUUUUAUAUAUUAUUUUUGACUUGAGUUAUGCAGGAUGACCCACUGAACUUAAGCAUAUCAUUAAGUGGAGGAAAAGAAAUUAACAAAGAUUGCCUUAGUAAGGGCGACUGAACCGGC
rnacentral:rRNA from 1 species